rnacentral:rRNA from 1 species
AAAAGUGGCGGCGUGCUAUACAUGCAAGUCGAGCGGACAGAUGGGAGCUUGCUCCCUGAUGUUAGCGGCGGACGGGUGAGUAACACGUGGGUAACCUGCCUGUAAGACUGGGAUAACUCCGGGAAACCGGGGCUAAUACCGGAUGGUUGUUUGAACCGCAUGGUUCAGACAUAAAAGGUGGCUUCGGCUACCACUUACAGAUGGACCCGCGGCGCAUUAGCUAGUUGGUGAGGUAACGGCUCACCAAGGCGACGAUGCGUAGCCGACCUGAGAGGGUGAUCGGCCACACUGGGACUGAGACACGGCCCAGACUCCUACGGGAGGCAGCAGUAGGGAAUCUUCCGCAAUGGACGAAAGUCUGACGGAGCAACGCCGCGUGAGUGAUGAAGGUUUUCGGAUCGUAAAGCUCUGUUGUUAGGGAAGAACAAGUGCCGUUCAAAUAGGGCGGCACCUUGACGGUACCUAACCAGAAAGCCACGGCUAACUACGUGCCAGCAGCCGCGGUAAUACGUAGGUGGCAAGCGUUGUCCGGAAUUAUUGGGCGUAAAGGGCUCGCAGGCGGUUUCUUAAGUCUGAUGUGAAAGCCCCCGGCUCAACCGGGGAGGGUCAUUGGAAACUGGGGAACUUGAGUGCAGAAGAGGAGAGUGGAAUUCCACGUGUAGCGGUGAAAUGCGUAGAGAUGUGGAGGAACACCAGUGGCGAAGGCGACUCUCUGGUCUGUAACUGACGCUGAGGAGCGAAAGCGUGGGGAGCGAACAGGAUUAGAUACCCUGGUAGUCCACGCCGUAAACGAUGAGUGCUAAGUGUUUAGGGGGUUUCCGCCCCUUAGUGCUGCAGCUAACGCAUUAAGCACUCCGCCUGGGGAGUACGGUCGCAAGACUGAAACUCAAAGGAAUUGAC